rnacentral:rRNA from 1 species
UACGUAGGGUGCGAGCGUUGUCCGGAAUUAUUGGGCGUAAAGGGCUCGUAGGCGGUUUGUCGCGUCGGGAGUGAAAACGCCGUGCUUAACACGGCGCUUGCUUUCGAUACGGGCAGACUAGAGGUAUUCAGGGGAGAACGGAAUUCCUGGUGUAGCGGUGAAAUGCGCAGAUAUCAGGAGGAACACCGGUGGCGAAGGCGGUUCUCUGGGAAUGACCUGACGCUGAGGAGCGAAAGUGUGGGGAGCGAACAGGAUUAGAAACCCCUGUAGUCC